UACGUAGGGGGCAAGCGUUGUCCGGAAUCAUUGGGCGUAAAGCGCGUGUAGGCGGCUCGAUAAGUCUGCUGUGAAAGUCCAGGGCUCAACCCUGGGAUGCCGGUGGAAACUGUCGGGCUAGAGUCCGGAAGAGGCGAGUGGAAUUCCCGGUGUAGCGGUGAAAUGCGCAGAUAUCGGGAGGAACACCAAUGGCGAAGGCAGCUCGCUGGGACGGUACUGACGCUGAGACGCGAAAGCGUGGGGAGCAAGCAGG
rnacentral:rRNA from 1 species